rnacentral:rRNA from 1 species
UACGGAGGGUGCAAGCGUUAUCCGGAUUCACUGGGUUUAAAGGGUGCGUAGGUGGGUCUGUAAGUCAGUGGUGAAAUCUCCGGGCUCAACCCGGAAACUGCCAUUGAUACUACAGGUCUUGAAUUUUCUGGAGGAUAGCGGAAUAUGUCAUGUAGCGGUGAAAUGCUUAGAUAUGACAUAGAACACCAAUUGCGCAGGCAGCUAUCUGCAGGGAUAUUGACACUGAGGCACGAAAGCGUGGGGAUCAAACAGG